rnacentral:lncRNA from 1 species
UCCAUGUAAUUUUCCUACUUGUAAUCAAACGCACCCUAAGAUUUGUUACAGUUUUGAACGUGUUUCAGCUCAUGCAAUUUGGGUCUUGCACUGUUUCGGCCAGAUUCAUUGUUCUAGGGGUGAAACUAUUUAUAGAUUUUCAAAGGCAGAUUCGAGUUUCAGUGUUUUAGCAAGUGCUUUUGGGUUUCGUGUUCAAGGCUCCCUUUGUUUUCCCAGAUUCAAGCCCUACCUUUGGAGUUUUUAUUUGGCCUGCAGCUUGCAUCCUCUUCUUGGAGGUUCAUAGUUUCAUAUCAGCUUGGUAUUCCUUGGUUCAGUUCGGCCAGAACGUUGCACUGGGCCAGAUGAAUAUCAACUUCCCAGAAUACUUGGUUUUCAACUGGGUUCUUGGAUUGUAAUCGGCCUGCUCCUUGGGGUUCAACGAGGGGGAGUUCUGAUUACUUGUCAGCUUCACUUGAAUAUCUUGAAGAUUGUAUGUAUCGAGGUGUAUGUAUUUGGUUAUUUUCCCUAUUUUGAUUUUGGUCAAAAAAGUUGAAAGUGUUUGGCAGCUUUUUGGAGUCUUGC